rnacentral:rRNA from 1 species
AGGGUUUGAUUAUGGCUCAGGAUGAACGCUGGCGGCGUGCUUAACACAUGCAAGUCGAACGAAGCAUUUAAGACAGAUUACUUCGGUUUGAAGUCUUUUAUGACUGAGUGGCGGACGGGUGAGUAACGCGUGGGUAACCUGCCUCAUACAGGGGGAUAGCAGCUGGAAACGGCUGGUAAUACCGCAUAAGCGCACGGUAUCGCAUGAUACAGUGUGAAAAACUCCGGUGGUAUGAGAUGGACCCGCGUCUGAUUAGCUAGUUGGUGAGGUAACGGCCCACCAAGGCGACGAUCAGUAGCCGACCUGAGAGGGUGACCGGCCACAUUGGGACUGAGACACGGCCCAG